rnacentral:rRNA from 1 species
CCUACGGGAGGCAGCAGUGGGGAAUAUUGGGCAAUGGACGCAAGUCUGACCCAGCAACGCCGCGUGAAGGAAGACGGCUUUCUGGUUGUAAACUUCUUUUAAGGGGGAAGAGCAGCAGACUAUACCCCUUGAAUAAGCCACGGCUAACUACGUGCCAGCAGCCGCGGUAAUACGGAGGUGGCAAGCGUUGUCCGGAUUUACUGGGUGUAAAGGGCGUGCAGGCGGGAAGACAAGUCAGAUGUGAAAUCCCGCGGCUCAACCGGGGAACUGCAUUUGAAACUGUUGGUCUUGAGUAUAGGAGAGGUAAUCGGAAUUCCUAGUGUAGCGGUGAAAUGCGUAGAUAUUAGGAAGAACACCAGUGGCGAAGGCGGAUUACUGGACGACAACUGACGGUGAGGCGCGAAAGCGUGGGGAGCAAACAGGAUUAGAUACCCUAGUAGUC